CACGUAGGGUGCGAGCGUUGUCCGGAUUUAUUGGGCGUAAAGAGCGUGUAGGCGGCCGUACAGGUCAGCUGUGAAAACUCGAGGCUCAACCUCGAGACGUCGGUUGAAACCGUACGGCUAGAGUCCGGAAGAGGAGAGUGGAAUUCCCGGUGUAGCGGUGAAAUGCGCAGGUAUCGGGAAGAACACCCGUGGCGAAGGCGGCUCUCUGGGACGGUACUGACGCUGAGACGCGAAAGCGUGGGGAGCGAACAGG
rnacentral:rRNA from 1 species